UUGUUUACAUUAUGUUGUGUUUUUUCUCAACAAACAUUUUCUUUUGUCCAACUUUAGAGAAGUCCUGAGCACAUAAUGAGUUGCAGUCGAACCACGCCUUGUGGCUGGGGCGUGUACACUUAUUACAGUCGGGCUGUGCAAUACUAUAUGAGAACCCCAUGCCAAUGUCCUAAUGGAACAAGAUGUGUAAGAACAAAUGAUGAGUUACUCAUCUACUCAUACGUCUACCAUUGUCGAUCUUUCUUGGAACAGGCUGAACACGUAUGGCCAGACUACAAGUAAUAGGCUUAACCCUUAAGCCUAAUACACGUAUGGCCAGACUACAAGUAAUAGGCUUAACCCUUAAGCCUAAUCCUCUGGAAGGAAUUUACCCUCUGAGAAUUGUGUGAUCCCGCUCUAUUUAGUUCAUGAUGAUGACCCUUAAUUUUUAUUGCAUAUCCAUGUAUAUAAUGGGUCUAUUUUUGGUUGUAUAUUUUGUAACUUACAUUUGAAUUUGUAGAUUUCGUUACUUGUAUUUCUCAGUUUGUGUAAAGCUAUAUCAAUGUAAUAAUAUACUGACAUUCAUUCAAUAAAUUCAAGAGAUCUGAAAAA